GGGAUGAACGCUGGCGGCGUGCUUAACACAUGCAAGUCGAACGAUGAUCUCCAGCUUGCUGGGGGGAUUAGUGGCGAACGGGUGAGUAACACGUGAGUAACCUGCCCUUGACUCUGGAUAAGCCUGGGAAACUGGGUCUAAUACUGGAUAUGACUCCUCAUCGCAGUGGGUGGGGGGUGGAAGUCUUUAGUUGGUCGGUUUUGGAUUGGACUCGCGGCCUAUCAGCUUGUUGGUGGGGUAAUCGGCCUACCGAAGGCGACGGACGGGUAGCCGGCCUGAGGAGGGUGGACGGCCACGACGUGGGACUGAGACCACCGGACCCAGACCUACCGUAACGGGA
rnacentral:rRNA from 1 species